AUUGCUUCUUGGCCUUUUGGCUAAGGUCAAGUGUAGUAUCUGUUCCUAUCAGUGUAAUGUCAGAUACUUCCUCUAUCUGAGGACAAUAUAUUAGAUAAAUUUUUGGAACUAGGAGAUGGAAUAGGGGCUUGCUGUGUUUGCUCCAGGCAUCAGCCUGGGUAUUGCAGUAAGUCCAAGAACAGUGCCCCCCUU
ensembl:snRNA U2 U2 spliceosomal RNA